rnacentral:tRNA from 1 species
GACUUAAUACUUUAAAAUAGAAGGCCUGACUUGCAUUCAGAGAGUGGAUCAAAAGAUCUUUAGGUCA